CUGAGGGCCGUCUUUCAAGUCGGCUUUGUGUGUGUGCGUUGCGUGCCAGUGAUCGCUUCCUAGAGGGCCCCCUCCUAAAGAGCGUUCUUCUUGAACUCCACUCAGCAUCCACUUGAACUCCAUGUUGCUUCUCUCGCAUUCUACCCUCAUGUUAAUGGAAUUGGACAGGACCUCAGCUUUUACACUCUUAAAAACAAGUGCCAGCCGGGCUCGGUGGCUCAGCCUGUAAUCCC